UUCCAGGUAAAUUUGAUGAAUUGUCACAAGCCCAGAAUUUUUACUGCAGAGGCACCUGUCACUUGCAGAGGCAGUGCGAUCAUGGACUGAACCAAAAGGGUUACAAUAACAGUCUGCAGAAACAAGACAACACAUACACACUGGAUUCAGGUCUACAUAUGGUGGCAAUUCAUUCAAUACCAAUAAAGGAUGCAUUUCCAGUGCAAAAGGAAGAGAUAUUUUACAAUGUGAAGAGAAAAAGUAAACUGAAAAAUCAUAAAGGCAGAAGAUUCCAUGUUCUUUGAGGG